ACCCACAGCCAUAUCACCCUGCAGCCCAAGACUGGUUGCCCACUGAAGCUAAGCAGGGCUGAGCCUGGUCAGGACUUUGAUGGGAGACCUCCUGGGAAAACUAGGUUGCUGUUGGAA
rnacentral:rRNA from 1 species